rnacentral:SRP_RNA from 1 species
GGUUGGAAGAUGGACGCUGUACUUGUAAAUCGAGUCAGGACUGGAAAGAAGCAGCUCUAGCAGUGUUACAGUGGGUCAUUUUUUCAUCCUCU